rnacentral:sRNA from 1 species
GGGGUGACUAGUGACAGAGUUAGGGAGGGAAGGGGUGACUAGUUACAGAGUGAGGAAGGGGGUGACUAGUGACAGAGGGAGGGGUGACUAGGGACAGAGUGAGGGAGGUGGUGACUAGUGACAGUCACCACCUCCCUCUCUGUCACCAGUCAUCCCCUCACUCUGUCACUAGUCACCCCUUCCUUCCCUCACUCUGCCACUAGUUACCCCUUCCCUCACUCUGUCACCGCCUCACUCUGUCACUAGUCACCCCCUCACUCUGUCACUAGUCACCCCC